AGUUUUGAGUUUGAAUAUUAGAAUUACAUGAUUAAAAAAAAUCUUUUUAAAUUGGGACAUCAAACUAAAUUACACAUUAAGAAUAGACUUGACACAUGAAUUUUAGACUUUUAACUUGUUUUUUAUCUCCAUGAACUUAAUUAUCAAAUAAACGUGAAUCAUACACUAUACUCGUCGAUUGCUUGAUGUAAAAAAUUAAAACUAAGCAAUUGUGUGGAUGAAAAUUGCAGGAAGAAGGAUGGGUGGUCUGU
rnacentral:misc_RNA from 1 species